CAGUAGCCGCGGGAAUACGGAGGGGGCUAGCGUUGUUCGGAAUUACUGGGCGUAAAGCGCACGUAGGCGGCUUGGUAAGUUAGAGGUGAAAGCCUGGAGCUCAACUCCAGAAUUGCCUUUAAGACUGCCGAGCUAGCAGGUGAGAGAGGUAAGUGGAAUUCCGAGUGUAGAGGUGAAAUUCGUAGAUAUUCGGAAGAACACCAGAGGCGAAGGCGACUUACUGGCUCAUACUGGACGCUGAGGUGCGAAAGCGUGGGGAGCAAACAGGAUUAGAUACCCGUGUAGUCCCUGUCUCUUAUAC
rnacentral:rRNA from 1 species